GGGGAUAUAGCUCAAUGAUAGAGCACAUGCUUGACACGCACAAGGUCCCUGGUUCAAUUCCCAGUGCCUCCA
rnacentral:tRNA from 1 species